GACGAAGGGGGCUAGCGUUGUUCGGAAUUACUGGGCGUAAAGCGCGUGUAGGCGGUUUGCCAAGUCGGGUGUGAAAGCCUUGGGCUUAACCCAAGAAAUGCACUCGGUACUGGCAGACUAGAGGACCGGGGAGGAUAGUGGAAUUCCCAGUGUAGUGGUGAAAUACGUAGAGAUUGGGAAGAACACCAGUGGCGAAGGCGGCUAUCUGGACGGUUUCUGACGCUAAGACGCGAAAGCGUGGGGAGCAAACAGG
rnacentral:rRNA from 1 species